UAAGGAAUAUUGGUCAAUGGACGCAAGUCUGAACCAGCCAUGCCGCGUGAAGGAUGAAGGUCCUCUGGAUUGUAAACUUCUUUUAUCUGGGACGAAAACGGGAUUUUUAUCUCAAUUGACGGUACCAGAGGAAUAAGCACCGGCUAACUCCGUGCCAGCAGCCGCGGUAAUACGGAGGGUGCGAGCGUUAUCCGGAUUUAUUGGGUUUAAAGGGUGCGUAGGUGGGCUUAUAAGUCAGUGGUGAAAUCUCCGAGCUUAACUUGGAAACUGGCGUUGAUACUAUAGGUCUUGAAUUAUCUGGAGGUAAGCGGAAUAUGUCAUGUAGCGGUGAAAUGCGUAGAUAUGACAUAGAACACCAAUUGCGAAGGCAGCUUACUACAUAUAAAUUGACGCUGAGGCACGAAAGCGUGGGGAUCAAACA
rnacentral:rRNA from 1 species